rnacentral:misc_RNA from 1 species
CACCCACUCAAGCCUGGCUUGGUGUUGGGCGCCGCGGUCUGCCGCGCGCCUUAAUGUCUGCCGGCCGAACCGUCCGUCUCUAAGCGUUGCGGCAUUUCAUGUUUUCGCUUCGGAGCUCGGGCGGCGUCGCGCCGUUAAACCUCUUUUUCA